GCCCCUUGGCCCGUCCAACCGCCUGAGAGGUGGAGAGCACCGAGUGGACCAGAAGACAGACAAGCAGGAGAUGCCUCCAGACGUCUCCAUCCAUGGAGAACUAGGGUUGAUGGUUCAAAGGCAGCUGUGCGCUUUAACCAACCAGUGUGCUGGGAACCGAACUCUCAUCCUCAACAACAGCGGUCUGCACUUCUAACCACUGAGCUACCUCCCCAGUCCCUUCCUCUCUUUUCUUUAAGAGGCAGUGAGGGGACAACAGGGAUUGAGCAGGAUGGUGAGGAUCAGUCACCAGGGCUUCAGAAGGGACCAGGGAAUCCUCACUGGAGCUAAGUCGCUGAGCACAGCAGACUCAGCCUCUGUGAGAUCAAACUUGGAAUCUGAACGCAGCACAGAGAGAUGAGCAGCGGACAUUUCACCCCCACCGCAUCACCUGAGGAUGCCUGAAAGGCCGCACCUGUGGUUCGGCUUCCCUGCAUUCUCCAUCCACCCCAGGGGAAGCCACUAAGGAUGGGGUGAGAACUUUAUUCCAGGACCACUGGAGAGAGGAAAGCUGAGAGUCUCUGCUUAUUUGGAUCUGGGAAAUGUUCCCAGAAUUCCAUUCCUGUUCUAAACUCAAGCACUAAUGGACCCAAGACUUGGAUGUUUGGGGCUGCCAGAGCCCACUUGGGACUGUAGGAAGCCCCGAGAACACCCUCAAGUGAAGAGUGACAGACUAGAGCCACCCACAGGACUCUGGGCCUAACUCUGCCCCGCCCUGUGGUGCCCCAGUGUUGUAGGCAGAGCAUAAAACUGAUGUGGCAACCCUUAGUCCACCUCCUCCAGGAAGCCUCCCUGACCAACUCAGGCCUCACAAAAGAGCCUUCCUCAACGGACGUUCCCAGUGCUGCAGUGGCAAAGAGAGUCCUGGGCAUCUCUGUUCAUGUCCUCCAUCGGUAAAGAUGCCAGCCCCUAAGGUUCAUGUCCUCCCCACCCCCGCCCAGUCAUACUGAGAACUCAGUGAGGGUGGCUGGCAACUUCCCUCCCUCCCCAACCCCCAAUUCUCUCAGACUACAGCCUGAGACUCCCAAAUCAGAUGAACCCCGGGAAGACCAGGUCCCUCUGAGCCCACAGAGCUUUCAGGAACCAGGUUAGCCAAAAAGUCGACAUGGUUUCGAAUGACACUUUGCAGUUAACACAUGAAAACAAGCAGUGGGAUCUAUGCACAUAAAACGUGAGCUAGAGUCAGAGAGACCUAAGCCAGGGCCUGCGAUGCCUACACAGGCCACAGCGAGGGAGCACUGGCUCCACCUAGUGACCAGAGCCAGAACUGAUUGAAAUAAUUCCCGAUCCGUCAGGGAUUCCCAGAGCUCCUUUCUGCCAAGAAUUAAGAGUCUCCCUAAAGCUGGCUCAAACUUUACCACUCUGAUCCAGGAAACAGAGCCAAGAGAAUUCCCAUAACAUGGGGUUCUCCCUCUUCCCAGCCUGGAGUACCUUGAGGCAGGGCCUUUUCCACUGGGCAGCCUCGACCAUCACUCCUUCCCUCUUCCCCUAAGAAAAUCCGUUCUUUAGUUCAGCUUCUUUUAAGAGCCCUGGCAUUGUGUCACCCACCAUCCAUGAUGUUCGGAGAAACAGCUCAGGACCCCACUGUACUGUAUUAUUUGAAAUUGUAUA